GUCGCUAAGGGAGGGAAAUACAGCGCGGGGCGCGGGCUGUCAGGUGCGCCCGGCACGCCGCCCGCCCGCCGGUGCGGCAGCCGCGGGCGGGAAGCGGGUUGUUGUUGUUUUUUUUUUUUUUUCCUCCUUUCCCUUAAUCCUUCCCCACGUCCUCCCACCCCCACCUUUUUUUUUUUCCGUUUAACUUUUUUUUUUUUUUUUUUUUCUCCCGCUCGCGAAGGGAGGAUGGGAGUGGGUCUGUUGGCAGCAGAGAUUUUGUGCGUGGGGACACGGCAGCCGCGUCCGUGGCUUCCCCCCCGCCCCACCUCGCGCCGAGGGAAGCUCACGGGGCUGAUGAGCGGCCACGGAGGACGCCUGCGGCCGCCGGGGAGCUCCGCCGCCCUGAGCCGGAGCGGGCCGGGACGGGCUGCCCGGCAGCCGCAGCCGAGGAGGUAACGCCGCUGUGGGAGCCGCCGGAAGCGGGAGGCACGGCGGCCCCUUCCCGCCCUUCCCGCCGCCGUGAGAGGAGCGCCCGCGGAGCCCGCCCUGAGGGCCGAGCGCUGCGCCGGGCCCCGCGCUGAGGGCUGUGGAGAGGAUCCCGCCCGCCUGGCUGGUAGCGGGCUCCCAGGGAGAGUGUCUGCCCUGCCGGCACAGCAGACGCCUUGGGUGAUUCAGAAAUGAGCAGUGGGAGCGCUCGGUGAUUUUCACGGGAGGAAGACAGCAGCCAGCAAGGCCCCGGCUCCCUGCCAUCUUGAGCCCUUCCUGGUGAUUUGCAGCAGCACAGAUAAGUACGGAGCACUGAGGACUGAAGUCAGCGUUUGGACCUGACUUUAUUUUAGUGUAAAUGACCACACGAGAUUCAUACCAACAGAGAUAUAGGAGUAAAAUAGCAGAAGUACAUAAAUGCCUCUCCUAAAAGUACGGUUUCGAGUAUUUAAAGGUUAAGGAGAUAUAUAGAAAAGAGUCCUCUCCACAUGUGUUUAUGUUUACGUGUCCUAACAGAAGGUGACGCAUUAUCUUACAUGCCAGGUAUGUUUUGGAUGAAUCUGUAUCACCCUAUUGAUUUCAGAGGAACUGCAUUGAUUUAGGUUAGUGAAGGAACUAACCCAGCUAAGUUUCAGAUAAUUGCAAUAAUAUCUCUGUCUCUUCCAGUCAGAUUUGCCCUUCGUGUUUAGUUGUUUCAUAAUCCUGCAGCUCUCCAUUUCAUCGUUACAAGACCAGAAUCUCUAUUGUAAAAACUGAAAAGGAAAAGAACCUACCACCUUAAAAGGCAGUCUUUUUAUAUUCCAAUCUUUAUUUUCUUGUUUAAAUAAACUUAGGGCACAAAAGCUCAUCCUAUUUGUUUUUUAAAUAGGCCAAUUUAGUUUCAUUUACUUACACCGAUAUUUUAUACAGCCAAAAGCUCUCAGAAGGAAAACGUGUUCAAUGCACCAGAACCCUUUAGGGUUUUGAUGAAAGACACGAUAUCAUGAGUAACAUCUCCACUUCUGUUAUUUUUUUUAUAUAGUAGCGACAAGAUUGAAUCACCAUUUUUAGCUAUUCUUCAGCAGAACUCAUAAUCUAUCAACGUGUCAGCUCAACAGCAGUUUUCUCUUCACACUAAUGUGAACCAGAAGGUCCAGCUAUCCUAGAUUUUGACAAUUUUAUCUGAGAUUGCAUACAUUGCAGAAUUUUGAAGAAAAUGAAUUGUAGGACCUACUAUGCUUUUCUAAGCACGUACAAAACGUAAAACACGUCUUCAAAAACAUUUUAAACUCAUUUUACAGGAUCACAUUCCUAAGUUAGGUGUUUCAUAAGCAUUGGGUUAUAAGCACUCUAAAAUAACAAGUGUAAAAUUAUAUGUGGGUCCCCGUAUCUUUUUAAAUGUCUCAGAUUGCCCUCUAUGUUGUUACAUAAUGCAUCAUAAAGAAAUACGUGCCUUCAUUCUCUUUAAAUCGCUCUGGCAUGGAUAGUGCUAAGCUUUCCUUCAAGUCCUCGUUAUGCAAGUCCUUGCUACUGUUAAUAGCUGUCAGCUCAGUGUGGUUAGUUAAAAAACAAGGUAACCACAGCUUUUGUGAAGCUCAUUGCAUUGCUGGAAUUCACACUGACUCAGUUCCAGGUGCUUUGCUCCCUUUCUCAGCUAUAAAUGGAAUUAUUAUGAGCAAACAGGUUUUUCUCCAUUAGAAGAAAGUCCCACUCAUUCCACUACAUCACAAGCUAAUCUGCUUUUUGUUUAGUUGUGCCUACAAGCGUAUUGUGUUAUGAAUAUCUGGAUGCACUCCUGCAGUGUUAAAUCAUGGUGAAAUAGACCAGAAUACAGUAAUAUUUUGAAAGUUUGUCCAAAAAAAUGCAGACAUGUAACUAUGUUCUGAAAAACACCUAGCACAGUAAAAAUUCACGACCAAUCUAACAGUUAUUAGGUAACAAAUAAUCCAUAUAGGCACUAAGCGAUAUUAUGUAAAGUAAAAUCUGUGUUACGCAGUAUAAGCAGCAUUCGGGUGAAAUUGAGGUGAUGUGUGAAAAACAGAAAGAAUAGUUUCUAAAGCUAUGAUGUUACACUGCUCUGUAUUUCUUUACUUGGGAAGUGGAAUUUUCCUCGUCUUUUUGUAAAAGGCACAAAAGUAACAACAAGCACUUUAAAGGUGCUUUGCCUGCUAUUUGCUCUUUUAUUUUUCCCCCGUCUAUCAAACAGAUCAUUUGUGGAAGAAAAUCAGGAGAAACCAAGCAGGGUUUGCCGGUAUCUCAGAGAUCUUUCCAAGUAGCGUCUUCUUUAACAAGGCCUCAGAUUUAAAGAUACUGAAACAGGAAUAUCUCAACAUUCGUAAUACUGCCUACAUUAAGAAAAAUUUUGCUCUCAGUUUAUACUCGUGUGGGUAUGCAAGCAGCAAGUCAGUGAAGCAUCACCAGGAAAGGACGGUUCUGUUUCAUAUUCUAGUAACUGAUCUAUUAGUUUAACAGUCCUCAGUUUCAUUUUUCCUAUAUUUUUUUCCCCCUUUUUGUUACUCCUGGAAAUUUGGAGUGCUAGCUUGUUCGUUGCUUUCCCUUCCCCUGCUAGUACCCAUUUUAAAAGGUGCAGCCCUAUUCUGCUCAGGUUUUGUUCUCACACAUGGAAAUUUUUAAAGUUCUUUUUUGCAAGCAGUAGGUUGGUGAGGGAGAGAUCUGCACUAUAAAAUAGCAAACCAACUAAACUGUACUCCAGUGGGAGAUUAAAUAAGAAAGAAGAGAAUGGCCGAGGCGAGUCGUUUGUCGCAGAUGUUCAUGCAGUUCUGUGUUUGGUUUUAAGCUGGAUUCAUCAAACGUGCUAAAGAGUAAUUUUUGUCUGAUAUGAAGUUUCUAUCCAAAGAGUCUGAGUGGGUUCGGUUUAAACCGUGGUUUGAAAAUGCAAGGGAAUGUUACCGGUCGGACACAAGAAAGUCAGACUGUUUUUGCAAUCUUAAUUCAGUAGUAAGAAGCAAAAUGUAUUGGAAUUAAAUUGCUGUGUAACACAGUUACUUAAGUUUCAAAAUCCCUUUGUGUACUGAGUACAAAUAUUUUACCAUAAAUGUCAGAAUUCCAUAGAUGAUAAAGGGUGCUUAUGCUGUUGGAGGGUAAGCAUGAAAUGCCGACGUGAUAACGUCUGAUACCAAAAUGGUGUAUGCUGCUUGUACAGUAUUUCCCAAGUUUACGACGUAACUUUAGAAAUAAAACUUAGUGAAAACGCAUGAGAUGAGCACAAAUGUAAUACUUACAAUUACCAGACUAUCUCAAAAAAAAUAUUUAACAGAGUGGAACACAAAUGAGGAGGCCCAGAAAUAAAAUUACUUUAAAAGGGGGAUCUUGAAAAAUUCAUCAUAUCAAACUCAUUCUUAGUUCCUGUAAGUUUCUGUCUCUUUUAACAUAUUUUCCCCUUUUAAAGUUCAUUUCUGUCUCUGUUCCCUCAAAAAUUCUGCGCUCCUUCCCCAAAAAGGGAAGCAUGUUAUGGUUACAAAUACCUUCUGCUGACUGAAGUAAAAUGAUCUUUUUUCCCAAACGAAAAUGUAUGUAUUAAUUCGCUAAACUGUUCCAGCUAUGUUUACGUAUGUUAUUUCUGAGAAAUGAUGAGGGCUGCACGAUAUACUGCAGCAUACUACGAUGUAGUAGCUGUAGUCGAGCAUUUUUGUUAUUUGUAAUCAAAUAGACAGAAUUGUCAGCCUAUUUGCUUUUAAGUACCUGGAAGCUGAAUUAGAAACACGAUUUUUAAUACAAUGAAUUUGACAUUUCAGUCUGCACUUGCUUUUUUUCUUUCGUAAAUGAGCACUGAUUAUCAGAAAAAUCAAGGCUUACAUAAUCAAGCCAUACAUUUUUCUGCUCUUCUUUCUCUUCCCCCACUUUAGCCAUCAUUUUCCUCGGAAAAAUGAAAAUUUUUGAAUAGAGAAUUACUAUGACAUACUAAUUAUAUACACAUUUUCACGGGACUGCAUAACCAGCCUAUUUGUAUGUAUUUAGUAAAAGAAGGCCGUCAACAAAAUAUUACAACCUUGAGAUGGCUAAACUUUAAAAUUACAGUAAUCAUUAAAUACAGCAUUAUCUUGUUGAUGUGCCUGUCUGUGUACCACUGAGUCAUUUUUCUUUGCUUGGAGAAGUAGGGUGCUUCUAUUUAUUCCUUAUUCAGAUAACAGAAAUAAGAACGUCCUACCCCAUUUUUUUUAAUCGUCGCAAAGCUGAUUCCCCUUCAUAAAGAAGCUGGUUUUAAUAUUCAGUUUUCAGAGGGAGAAGUGAUUGCCGUGGACAAAUAUAUAGCAAAUGAAUUGAAGCUCUGUCCUACUAGAACAAUUACAAAUUGAAUUAAUUGCAAAGAAUAAUAUUAAAAUUCUAGCUAAAUAUGUUAACAUGAACUCCUGCCCAUAGGUGGCAGUCAGCUGUCACUAUAGUAGGGAUGCCAAACUUUUGGUUCAUGAUAUUCAUACUUAUGCUGAUGUAAUUUUAAUGGAGUAUGCAUAUGUGCAUGUACAGAAGUAUGCAGAUGCCUGCAUUGGGAGAGGGGGGAGAGGUAAAAUUAACCCCCAAAUUAAUUAUUGAGUAUGAGUAUUCUUAAUUACUCUAUAUAAGCAAAGUAAAUUCUCAUUUUUUGGAGAGAAGUUCCAAGUAAAAACACACCAACUAUUUUUUUAUCAGUCUUGCUGAUGCUCAUCUAAAAGAAGUAGAGAACGUUCAGAAAUGAGCAAAUUUGCCUCUACAAGUUGAGUGGAAAGGCAAGUAUCUGGCCAGCCUUAGACAGCAUGACUUCAUACUAUGCCCAAUCCUCCUAGCUAUGUUCCUAUUUCGUAGUUCUUUGUCUGUAAAUUACAGAAGUGCUGAAAUGAUGAUGUUGUAUCCUAGAAAUCCCAGCAAUACAUUUGGCAGAUCCAGAAAAGGUACUGGGAGUGAAUGCAUGCUCUCUGACAUGGAGAGCCAGCAGCCUGCAAUUCUCUUUCCCUUUGCAGAGCUUUAGACACCCGUGGCAGCACUGCAUGAGGGGAAGAUGCAGCCAAUGAGAGCAAAGAUCCAUUCAAUUUUGCCCUCAGCUUUUUUAGGGCUUUAUGUGGUUUAUGAGGACUUCCUUUUGCAAUAGAACUAAGGAGGCACUUGAGACCCCACCAAAACUGAAGGGGAUAGAAGAAGCUAAUAAGGCCAAGUUGUCUCAGUCUAAAACAAACAGAAGUGGUGAAACUAUGUGUGACAUACUAAGACAACAGAGCUCUCAUGAGAAAAGACAACUGAAAAUUAAAAUUCCUGAGUAGGUAAAAUCUUAUUCUUUUUACUGUCACAGCUACACCAGGAUACUUUUUAGUUAAGAUUAAUCUAAUUAUACAUCAAAGUAGCCCACUGUAUGCAUUUCACAGAGGUCAGGAAGUAGCAUUUUACAAAAUGGAAAGUGUGAAAAACACACAAUUAUUUGUUGCUACCGGAGUGUUCUACUGUGAUGCAAGAUUAAGGGCUCAGAAUUGAACAGAAUGGUGCAGUAUUAUUAAAAACAGAAGGCCUAAUUCUCCUUAUGCAAGGAAGGCAACUAUACACACCGUUGUAUAAGCUGAAGCAGUCGGUACGAUUUCAUAGUUGAACAGGGUAUUUUCACGUGUAUGCGACCAUUACGUGGCUAAUUAGAUACUUGCAUAUGCACAGCCCCAUUUGCUCCCCAACUAUAAUAAUUACGAGGAUUGCACUCCGCAUUAAUUUACACUCUUGUGUAACAGAAUUGAAUACAAGAUAGCAGGUGGUGAUAAACUGGCUAGUGGCAAAUGUGUAAAUUUGAUAUGCAUUUUGAAAAUCAAUACUUUCAUACUCAGUGCUGAUCUUGACAUGGAAAAGACUGGUGAAGAACUACUCGGCCAUCAAUUCUGAUCCCAGCUAUUGCAGACAGCCAUGUUGUACUGUGCAAGUUAUCUGCAGAGGUAUCAAACUCCAUCUUGAAAAUACCUUUGUCGUAAGGUUGCUCUUAAUUUCCAUUCCUCUAAAUGGUUACAGAUUUCUGAUAACAAGUAGUCAAAACCAGCUGAUGCCCUCACGUUCUGUAAACAUCUUGGAAUUCAGUUUAAAUAACCUUUCUCUCUCCCUAAGGAUAAAGCCCCUUCCAAUCUGUCACUCCUUGAGCAUUCAUAGAUUGCUUUCUUUUCAUUGUCAACUGUCAUAACCUACUCAGCCUCGGCUCUGCCCAAACAGCAGUGCUACACCUGACACCGAAGAGGAUGCCUUUCCCCAGCCAAUCUUCUAACCCUUCUUUGUACAUUUGCACUUGCAAUAAAUCUUUUUUAAGAUGCAAGAUUAGAAGUACGCAUAGUACUCCAGAGAAGAUCUUGUCAGGGCCUUUUGAGUAGCAUUAACACCUUCCUAUCCCUGCUGAAACUAAUAUUUUAAUAUUUAAAAGCUUUUUUUUAUUCUAUGCAGACCUGCAUGCUAUGAGUGUCUCAAAGGCCUUAAGGACUGAUUGAGACACCUGCUUUACAUUCUUUUUUUUUUUUUUUUUUUAUGGACACUGAUAGCAAAAUUCUUGUUAUUCCUAGUUUACAACCUUGAACUUUAUACCAUUACUGGUAUUGCAUGACAAGGGUGUCAAAAGGCUUUUUACAAGAAGGGUGUCAUCAGUUUCAUCUCGGCCUCGGGCUUCCUGUGAGUUUUCUAGCAUGUCCAGAUGUGUUCUCUACACUUUGCACAACUACGGACGUGAGAUAGUACACGCACCUGAUACAGUGCAGGGCCUUGCAGAUGAGCUAGCUUGGCUCACGAAGCAGAGUUGUCUCUGGUAUUACAUUACCUCAGGCACAUCACAGUAUGUUAUUUCAGGUAAGUCUUCAGAAAGUCAUGCAGUACUUCUGACUCAAUGCCAUAACCUGGCUUCAUUUGACAGCUCUGGGAGCAAGAGACCAAAUUUUGAAGUUUUUUUCCAGAAUCAACAGAGAUGGACUUUACUUCGCAUUGUAUUUUUUUCUGUUGAACUUGUACUUUGAUCUCCAGUUUACAAGUUAUGUCAGUAAGAGUGAAGGUGGAUCAGGAUGCAUAGGAGUUAAGUGGCAGUCUUGAAUAACUUGUAAAAAUAUGAAUUACAUGAGGCUAGAGGAUUUUGGCUAUUGUUCAUACAACAAAGGGCACAAAACUCAUAUUAUAGGCCUGAUUCAGUGUCCUGCAACCUGGCACAUGCCAAACCCAGCAAAAGCUCCUAAGUGUGGUAUUUCUAUUGUAAAGAUAAACCGCACUGGUCAAAUUUUCUUAGCUGUAAUGCAGGCACAGAAAUAUAUCAAACAGAAUUAGGUUUUGUGCUCUUAGUUGUAUUAAAUUCCCCCUCUGUGUUAACAGUGUCCUAGGUUUGUGUCACCCGCUGAUCAUACGCUUAAUUCCUAGGUUAAGAUACUCAGUGAAAAUAGUUCAUACAGUCUAUCUAGGAUUGUUCCUUGAGGAAGUCCAACAGGAACCUGCCAUUAGCUUGACAGUUCUUCAAAACUACUUCACAUUCGUUAUUAGAGUUAAUUUAGUAGUUGCUAUCUUCCGUAGCUUAACUGAUUAUGUUCUUCAAACUAGUAUACUAAAAAAUAUUUCCCUGAAAUCUAGAAUCUAGUCAGAUUAGGUCAACUUGUUUACUUGAUGUGGAAAGGUAGGGUUUUUUUUCUUUUUAUUUUUCACGUGUGGCGUAAUCUACUCUCAGGAAAGCUUUGUGACAUUUUUCUUACCUUACAUUGAUCUCCUUUUAUCCCAUGCUUCCUUGAUCCAAUUUCUUGAUGGGCAGUCCCAGUUUUUCUGUUUUUGUUUUGUUUUUUUCCCCUAAUAUUUUAAAUUAGCAGCUUUGGUUACAUCUAAAAUCCUAUUUGAGGUGGCUGCUUUUUCUACUUGGAUGCAAAGACCUAUCUGUGCAAGUUUUCCCACCCCGAAAUUAAGAAAGUGGAAAUAGGACUAAUUUUUUUUUUUGUCAUUUCACCUCUAUCUGAAGGGUUCACAGAGAUGCUCACUCACAGAGAUGAUGGUGAAAUAUGGAUUUUCUUGGAAAUUAUAGCAUGUGGCUGAAAAGGCCAACAAAAAUGAGAGCCUCUAAAUCCUGCAAUUUGCUGUUCUGGGAUUUUUGUACUGCACUUCUGGUCCAGCCAAGGGCUGGUCGUAUCUUGGAGAUUUUAUAAAGUCUUCAAAAGAAAGUGAGCGUGGCUGCGUGACUGUAAGGUUGCAUCAAGUUAAAAAAAACGUUUUAUAAAAACCUUAAGUUACAUCCAAAUGAAGAUAACAAUAAAAAAACCAUCUAUCUGAUGGGCUGUAUAUAUGUAUCUGUAAAAACAGAAUGAAAUGCAUCAAAAGAGGGGCUUGAGGAAACUUUCAUUAGCCAACAUGCUAUACAUUUUAGCCACGGCUCUAGAGGAAGUUAGAGGUAACUACACUUUUAGACUAGGACUAAAUCAGUGAGCAAAUGAGCAAGUAUAACUUUGGGAAAGAAAAAGGCAGCUUUGUAAGAUGGAAACGGUGCCUCCCAAAGUUCCUCUGUAUGGGGAGAGGAGAUUUGGUUCAAACACCUACAAGGAAUUCAAAUAAGAUGUUCAACAUCUUUUACUAAAGCAUCCCAAAAUAAACCGAGUGAAGAGGCAGGUUCUCACUGCACAAGAGACACAUGAAAAGAUAGUAAGUAUAGGACAGAAGCAAUUGCUCGCUUUUCACAGUGAUGGGAGACAAAUAGCAGAGUCCUUGCCUACUAUUAAGCAGCAUUCUCAGAAAUACUCUGGAAAGGGGGAUGAAUAAAAGUUACAAAGUUUACAGACAUCACAAAGCGGGGAGGAAGGUGGAGAUGUGAUAGGGGCUGCCUUGAAAACAUUCCUGUGCUGCCUGGAAUUACAAAGAAAGGGAACGAAUUUAAAAACAAACAAACAAAAACAUGGUCAGGUGCCAUGUAAAUCUUUUCUAAACGCUUUCUAAGCACUGUGUGUGUUUCUGCCUUUAGCAUACAUGCGUAGCAGUGGGCAUGUUUAAAAACAUAGGACAAUCAAAGCUGGAAAGCUAACAUCAGAACCUGCUGUACCAGGUGAAAACAACAAUUUGCUCCAUGUGCUCCUCCCUAGGCUUCAGAAAGGCCAAGAGGAAAAGAACCAAUGUGAGACAGGGCAUUGCUGAAAACAUGCUGUGCAGUGAUGAAGGUGGCCUGUAGAACAGCAUGUUUAUACUUUGACCUGUGUUUGCACCUGUCUCCCCCCCUAUUAUCCUCUUAGAUCAAAUCUAUUAAUAAUUGUAAAGUAGUUGUAAUAGCACACUGAAAAUUGUUAGUCAGCAGGGGAGAGCUUUAUUGCCAGAAUUGUAAGUCACACAUGGAAAACUUGGGGUGAAAGAGAAGCAGCAGCAGGCUUUGGUAGUGCAGUUUCACAGAUGAGGCAAUUGGGAGUACCCUGAUGGUCAGGAUUAGUCUUGUGAUUAAUCACAGUGUCACAGAAUCAUCACAGAAUGGCUUGGUUUGGAAGGGACCUCAGAGUUCACGCAGUUCCAACCCCUUGCUGCACACAGGGCUGCCACCCCCCAGCUCAGCUGUCCGUGGCUCCAUCCAUUCUGGCCUUGAGCACCACCAGGGAUGGAGCACCACAGCUUCUCUGGGCAGCUGUGCCAGUGCCUCAACACCUUCUGAGUAAAAAAUUGCUACCUAAUAUCUAAGCUCAAUCUCCCCUUUUUUAGCUUUAAACCAUUCUCCCUCGCCCUGUCACUAUCAGACCGUGUAAAAAGUCAGUCCCCCUCCUUAGUGUUUAUAAGCACCCUUCAAGUACUGGAAAGCUGCAAUGAGGUGUCCCCAGAGCCUUCUCUUUUCCAAGCUAAGGGUUUGUUCCCUUAGCCUGUCUUCAUGCGAGAGGUUCUCCAGCCCUCUGGACAUCUCCAUGGUCCUUCUCUGGACCCACUCCAACAGCUCUCCAUAUCUUUCUUUACUGACCCCUAUGAUCAGUACAACCUGUACUCAACUGUACUACAGCAAAUGCUAACUGCACAAGUUGUGAGUCACAGUCGCUACAGAAGACCACCGAACCAUCCAUUUUAAGUGGACAGUUGUGGUAAUGGAAAGCAGGUAAAAAUGUAUGCAGGUUGUUCUUAAAAGAAUGUCUUCUAUUUAUUUCCCUGGAAACUACAACUAAGAGCACAGUUACAUUAUUUGAUAAAGCAAAUUCUCAGCUACAAAACAUUAUUUUUUCAACACAGUCACCACCAUUCGCUAUGCAUUUCUGCCAGCGAUGAACAAGAGCCUGUAUGCUGCACCCAUUAAAAUCUGCAUCUCUACUGCCAUACCUCCAACAUCUACCUCUGACAUUAUGGGCCAACAUAAUAAAAUCAGAGACAUUGCUUUCACAGCAGCCCUCGUAUUUAAAAAGGCUGCCUGCAUGCUAGGGAACUACAAGGAGUUUCAUCUCCAGCUUACAGGCUGGGCUCUACAAGACAGACUCGAGUGUCUGAGAAGGUCACAUGGUGACCCACAGGCCACCAGUGGGAUGCAGAUGGGAAAGAAGCAAAUAAAGAUCUUGGGUGUAACAAGUGCAAAUGAGAGACCUUCAGUACUAAAUCUCAUCUACAGCAGCAUUUGUUGUUCUGGUUACCUUUGCUCAGGAAAAGUCAAACAACCAAAUGCAGAAAGAGCUGUUCAGGACAACACUGAGCUUGCCUUAGAAAAACUAGUUAAAAAGGGUUUUGGUCAACAACUCAGCAAAAGACAGAGGGGGAAUGUUUUUAAUACAAGUGUGAAGAAGUUAAAACAAAGAGGGGAAAAGCUGGUACUUAAGUAGCAUAACCAUGACUAAAAUUGAAACGAGGUGCUUUUUAGUUCUGUGAAGAAGGUAGCUCUAAGAACAGCUUUUCAAUAGGAGUAAUGGUAAAAGAAAUUGGUUUUAAAUCAAGACUAAGUUUAUGAAUGGGAUUAUCUGACCUGGCUCCUCUCCCAGGGCAGAUCUUCCUAUUUUGUUCUGCUCUAUUUAGGGUUGCAAUACAAGCCUUUCUCUCCCUUUGCCCCAAGGAGCUCUCCCUCUCUCACAGCUUUCCUCCCCCUUGCUGCUCAGGUGUCAGCAAGAAGCAGGGCUGGGCACGCUGAGCAGAGCCUUUGUGAAACACAGGGAGAGAUGGUGGGACCAGUGCUCUUCCAGCAGGCCAGCUGUGUGCAUGAUGAAUGCUAACAUUUUUAACCACUGUACAGUGGCAGCAAGCAUUUUUAAGCACAGUGAUCAAUUUUGUCCUCUAGCAUCCUGUUGAACAUCAGUAAAUAUGUUAUUAAGAGGCUUGAUAGUGUGCUCCUUUGCAAUCAAGGCCAAGAUGUAGCCAGAUACUCAUCUUAAUCUCUCCAAACACAUUUCUAAUGAAUUUUUACAGUGCCAGGAACAAAGGUCCCUGGUCUGAAGUGGGACACUUGCAUGACAAAAGCAAAUUACAAUAAAUAAUACAUUGUGUUUAUGAUGUCAAAUUGUCACCUAAAGACAGUGGUAAAAAGCUUGUAGUAUAGGCUACUGCUAGAAUCCUAUUAAUAAAAUUGCUUUAAAUUACUCCCAAGGUGUAAGAUAGGAUGUUCAUUUGUAGACAGUGCUUUCUCUUGAAUAUUUAUAUUUAACACCUUAUUUAUAUUCUAGCAAGAAACCACUCAGUACUGUGAGGGAUUGGAUUUUGAAAUAACUCCAUUGUAUUGCAACAUUUUUAUUAUUGUUCUGUCCCAUAAAGAUAUAGAUAAACUUCCUUUCUGCUCAACAGAAGUAUGGGAAAAGAUCAAAGCUCUAAACCUGGUGCAGAGUUGCAACUAGGGGGGAAAGAAAUACUUACAUCUUCUGUCUCCUUGACUGCACAGUCCUCUACUGCUUGGUGUAAUCAGCCCAUACUUCUACACUGUCAACUUUCUGAUCUUCUCCUUCCUGCAGGGACUUCGAUGGGUACAAUUAGACUAUUCCAGUUUCUACUGUCUUUAAUUCUUCUGAAUUUCCUACAGAACCUGAGAAAUUCACUGAGUUCUAUCAUAUAUGAAGGUAAAUCACAGCAAUGUGUGCUACAGAAAUGGAAUUUUCAUUGAAAUUUAUGCUUGUAGUCAACCUCGGUAGACUGCUGGAGCAUUUUGGCUUCCUUUGACCCAUAGAUUUUCUGGUGCUUUUAAAAUGCUUGAAACAUUGGUGGAAUCUUGGCUCCACUGCAGCAGUGCAUAACAUGCAGGCAGCUGCACUGAAAUGAGCCCCACGUGUGUCUGAAACUCAAAUGAAAGCAGUUUGGGUAGCAGAGUUGGCUUCCUGCAACCUUCCCAACUUUUAACCUCAGAAAGCGACGUAAUGAAGAUGGAGGAAAAAGCCAAACAUGUAACAUCUUUUACAGUGUAACCACCAAACUUUUCAUUAAUAAUGACAAUUCUAAACUCAUGUCCUGCCUUUUUUCUUUUUUAAAAUUCUGUACUUACUAUCAUUGAAAGCACACAUUUAGCUAAUGUUUCACGUGCUCCAAAUAGUUCUUGAAUGGCAGACCAAGGAAAUCUGAGUUAGGUGGUAUCAAAGCUGUUUGCAUUAAGGUAUUUAUCAGCAGCACCUGAGGUGACAUAUGAUAGUCUAAUUUCCAAUAAAUCAUUAUUGUCAGCUAUGAAGUAAAUUGUCUAUUAAUUAGUAAAGUCUUUGGACAUUCAUCUUCACCUUGCAGAUCAUUUCCCCAUUUUAAGGGGACAGCAGCAUGUUAAAUCUUUAUUACUGCAGUAACAUGGGAAAAAAAAGAAAAACAAAAGGAAUUGUUUCAGCAACAACGAUCCUCCCAGCAGAGUCUUGGAGGAGCCUGGAGACCCAUAGGCCAGAGCAGAAUUCACAUCACCCUACCCCAGCACCAUGACCAGGUAUGGAGCCGGUGUGUGCUGCCUUGACAUUCCUUAACUUCCAGCUGGGUUCAGUACAACCUGCAGGAAAACACCCCAGCCCUCCUUUUGUACCAGGGAGCAAAAUGAAUGAAUUCUGUGGACUGCAAAAUCUGGAGUUCUGAUUUGAAGGGUGCCACUUUCUAACUCUGGGGCAUGGCCAUUGAGAUAAAAGCAGGGAGGGAAGAGCGCAGUAAUCUUCAGGAUGUGUGGCAUCAUUAUUCUUAGAACCUGCGGCAGCCUUUCACACCGCUCCUACCACAUCUGAUUUCAGCUUGAGCUGUACUUUUUUUUAGGGCAGAGAAAUAUUUUCCAAAUUGCCUGAACAUCACUGUAUUUUUUAAAAGGUAUAAUUUUCACCUCUUCCAUUGACUACCUUUUGGGCAAGUCAGUAGCUCGCUUUCCCCUCAUGCAUUUGUCUGUGUCAUAGGAUAACCGUAUUUGCCUGCUAUCAUGAAGUGCUGGAGGGUCCUGCAAUUUAUGUAGCUUCAGAUUGUGGUUUAUCUUGAUGGAGAACUGUAUCUCAGAUACAAAUAUAUUAAUUUCCCUCCUGGAGAAGGAUAUUUUCUGGAAAUAAAAGCCCAUUUCUAAUCAGGCAGGGAAAUGAGGGCAGCACAGCACAUCCAAAGAGAGAUAAAAUACUUGCAAUUUUAAUAUAAGAUGCACAUGUAAGCAUGUUGACUUAGCUUUUUGGAAGUCAAGGAAAUAUCAAAAGUGUUAAUAUUCUUUGACUCAAAUUAUAUGAAAUCCAAUUUCUAGUGGAAAACAAACAAAAGAUGGCCAACCAGACCUAUUGCAUAUCUCAAAACGCAUUGCCACCUGUACAGCUUCUGGGGGAGAUCUGUAUGUUAGCAACUGCUUAUAUAAAGGUAAUUCUGUGAUGGAAGGUUUCCUAAAUCAGGUUUCUCUAUAGCUUUGUUUUCCAAAAUACUGUGUAACAUGGAAAGAUGGCAUCAGUUUCUUCUCAGACAUGCAGGUACUCCACUGCACGUAGACAAAAUAAAGGGGCUUAUCACAAAACCAUGCAAUCAUUGAAUCAUAGAAGCCUAGAAUGGUUUGGGUUGGAAGGGACUUCAAAGCCCACCCAGUUCAAGCCUCCUGCCAUGGGCAGGGCUGCCACCCACCAGAUCAGGCUGCCCGAGGUCCCAACCAGCCUGGCCUUAUGGAAGCACAUGCCUUCCAACCUGCUGCUGGAUUUUAACACCCUUGCUUAACAAUGAGUUUCAUCAGUUUAUAGCCUCACUGACCGUGCCACAAGGGAAUGGCUCACACUUCACAAGACACAGAUCAUGGCACAGAACAAGGCAUGAAAGACUGAGAUGUAGGAAGAGGCCAGGUCCUCCAGAGGCAGGACUGGUCUGCCAGGGUCACCCACAGGCUGCUCAUCUCCAGUGCCCUUCUUUGGAGGCAGACCUUGGUCUGUACAGCCAGGCUGGCCCCGAGUCCUCCAUACUCCCCACACCUGCAAGCUCCCCAGCUGCCAAAAGCAACACAUUCGUGAAAUGCUUUCUGCCUGAAUAGCAGAGCAGUGAAAACCACCUCCCAGACUGUUGAAAAUCCCAACAGAUCCACCCUUGUUCACAGCAAUACUUCUCUUCUCACUUCUUAACAUAUUCAUCCAAGGCAACCGCCAAAAUCCGUUAGUGCAGAUCUGCUAGCAAAAAAUCUUGGAUUCCCCUCACUUAUCUUUAAACACCUACAGUACAUACCUGCUGUCUGAAAUCCCAUUGGUGAGAGAGGAAUAACUGCUUUUGUACCACAGGUCACCUCAGUCCCAAGUAGCAACCUGCAGCAGGUCACACUGGUUGUGCUUGGAGACCCCAAAAUUGGGGGUCUUCAUUGACUGAAGGGAGGCUGCAGGAUUUACUCAGGUUACAAGUGUUCUGGUGAGAUACAUCACAGGAAGGCUUUUUUGUUCGAUGGUUUCAUUCUGUCUCAUUUGCAUCUGCUCUUUCUCACUAUCACCAGUGGAGUUGCACAAACACUCUUAAAGUUUUGGUUCAUUACUUCAGUAUGUUAAUGAACUCUGAUUUUUUUUUUCCUAUAUUAUAAUGCCCAAAAGCUGGUUUGGGGCACGAAUACAAACGUGUCUUUUUCCAUCAGAUCUGCUUUCUCAUCAGGGAUACAAGAAGUCUUUCACUGGGUGCCGAACAUAUUUUAUUCAUUUCAUAGAUUUUAGUUUGCAUCUGACAGAGCUAUUUGUUUUGCUGAAUUCUCAAAACUUCUGGAAAGAAGAAACAUUGCCACAGGCACAUCUUCCCAGCAAACAAGCAAAUAAACCCAAGGGCUGGGAUCUCCAACACAGUGCUACUCUGCUGGCAGCAGCAGGAUUGAGCCUCUUUGCACAAGCAAAAGAGGACACAACCAGAGCUGCUGUAGUGACAUCACUGCAGGUGAAAAGCAAAAGCAACAUUAACAAGAUUUGGUCUGAAAAAGGAUGCCUGCUCAUCCGAGCACACACUGGCAGAACCUGAGGGUUGGGACAAGUUCUAGCUCCCGGUGACGUGAAUUAAACACCCCUUCUAUUCCCCUCUGUGGCUCAGCUAUCCUUAUUUCAGGGCUGUUGUGUAACUUCUACAGAGAAGGGAAAGAUCAUUUGUUUCCUCAGAUGCACACACACACACACACAACAGUCCCUAGUUUAUAUGCAGGAAAAACAGGGUAAGCCUGGGAGAAACAAGAGGAAAGCAAACAGCAUUAACUACAAAUGAACAGGACAGUCCUUAUGAGGAUAAUUUUCUCCUUUUAAAUCUGGUGCCCAUAUUAAAAGCUCUCCCCACAGCACGUGCAGGACCGAUAGUUACUCAGCUGACAGCACAAACCAACAGCGACCCUGGCACCAAUGCAGAGGCAAUAUUUACAAAAGGAUGAACUAUUUCCAAACAAUGCCUCCAAUGUACUAAGCACAAACAGGCUUUUCUUCAGCAGCAAGCAUGCAUGUUGUUUUGUUCCAAUGAUUUUGUUCAUCUACAAAUGUAUUCAUUGUGGACAAUGCAAGGAAAAUGUCAUUCUCUAUUUAUAUCCAAGUUUCCUUUUGUCCUCUUUACAGCAUCUCAGGGCAACAAUGUAGAGGAGAGCCCUGCUCUAAGCCCAUGCUGUCUCUCCCCAUCUCCUCCUGAAGCCCUGGCAGUGCGGAGCAGCAGAGGGUUAACAGGCUCUCUGCAACAGAUUUUUUCUUAGGCACAAAGAUUGGUUUCUCUCCCUCCACUUCCCAGCAGAGAAGACCCAAGUCCUGCCUCUUGCUCCAUCACUCAGAGCACAUAAUGGCCUUGGCAGCGCAGGAUGUGGUGGUAGCAGCGUUCUGAGCUGCAUAAGUGGAUGCACCUGGCACAUCAGCAUGAAUAGGCUAUGUUAAGGCAAUUCUCCCACAGUAAUGUAUGAAACCAUCCACUUCAUGAGCAGCCUCUUGUGAUAAAGGCUGCCUUUCUGCUGGCUUGGAUAAGUUCCCCACUAUGGUCAAAACAGAAUAAUGGAAGACUUUGAAAGAAGAGCCCUUGCAUGGAAAAUAAUUAAUCUAGUAGUGGAGGAGCAGGGAGAAAGAUUUAGGGACACUUGAAAACAAAAAACAAACCCCAGAGUCCUGUGACUAAACUGAAGCCUGGAUGCGGGCUUGCACUGUGUUUUUGUCCUGAAACAAAUAACCUACCCUGAAAGCACCACUCUUGGGCAGGUCGGCCACCCUUUGGGUAGAAAAUAGGAACUUUAUUUUAAAUGACAGUUUAGGAAACAUUAUUGCCUUUCGUAUAUCCUGUGUUUUUCUACAAGGUGGAAAUUUCCACUACUCUCAAGUGCAGCAUUCCACUGUGAUAAGCCUCAGUUUAUUGGCAAACUGAUAAGCAUCGUUUUAGUGUAUUUAAGCACAGCUUAAAAAAAAAAAAAUCAAUUGAUAGAAGUCCUUACUUCUACAAUUAAAAUUACUUCCAGUUGGAAGCUCAACCUUAAACAGAGUUUGCCUCUAACAGAUUUCUGCAAUCUUUCCAACUAUGUGUAUACAAAGAGAAUAUUCAUACAUGCCUUGGAUGCAACAGUGAAAUGAAUGUAAUGCAUUCCACAUGUUCUAAGAAACUGAAGAACCUACAUUUCUAAAGGAUAUUUGACUGCUGGUGGGAGACUCCCAAGGCCUGUAUGCUCACUUGAAUGCAUCCCUCAGUAACAAAGAUCCCUUCAGUACAAGACUCACAUCCAAGUAACCAUCAAGUAUCAAAACAUGCACUGAUGCUAACAGACUUAAUAUAUAUUAAAAAAAAGCCUUUUCCCCCCACAAAAUAUCUCAAUAUCUUAAGCAAUUUUGUUCUCUGGAAGAAAAGUUUAUUUGAGAACUAGAGAAUAUUGCUAAAUGAUUUUUUCUAACCAUAAUGCAUUUUAGAUAAAGGUUAUAUAUAACACCAAAUAAAUGAGCUGCUCUUGUAAUUCAUAUUCUAAUAAUGCAUGAUUUCAUAUGCUUUAGCACACGAAAGAUUAGAUAGCUUUAAAAUUGGAGCAGUCAAACUUUUAGCACAGCAUGAGAUGAAGAUAAGGAGCAUUCAGUCACCAAAAACAUCUUGUCUUCAUCACUUUCUCAUCCUUAAAGAAUUUCAAAAUUGCAAUUGAGCAAUUCUUAACUACUGCACAAAAAUAACUCCUAUGAGCUGAAAAACAUUUUAAGAUCUUUCAAGUUUAGGGUAUGGAGAUAAAUUGUCAUGCGAAGGCAUGUCUUAUCAAUCCCAUGAAUUGAAGGCUAACAGAAGUUUGUAAUUCUGACAUCUCAACAGAUGAUUAAAAUCCCCAAGUGACUGAAAGCUAUGCAUAGCCCUUGAGAUUAAAUGAUCAUCCAUUAUAGGCACUGCUAUGUAUGCAUUAUAUAUGAUUUUAACAGUUAGCUGGCAACAAUUAGUCAUUCUCAUUUCUCACUAGUUUUCAGAGAGUAGCAUCUCCCAAAGUUAAUACUACUACCUCCAAAUAAGGAUAGUAUUGAAAUUCAGACUAUGAGGUUGAAAAUCAGUUUAUUAUUUUUUCAGGUAUUCCUAACAUUGCUUCAUUACAUUAUUGGAAAUAGGAAAACAACAGAUUAAUCCCCUUUAAGAUAAUGAAAAGCCUUUGGAAGGUUUUGAGAGGUUUAAUAUGAUUUAAGGCUCCAGUGAGCAGAGGGAAAAAUAUGCUCUUUUCAGCAAAGAUUUCAAAACUGUUUUCUCAAUUUACAAAGAGCUUCGCUAUGUACUUAUCAAUAUGGAAGACCUUCCCUGCCAAGAAGUAUCGUGUUAUCUGAGGGCAAGUCUUGGAAAAUACUACUCAGCAUGUUCUCUUAAUCAGAUGAUAUACAAUUAAUGAUUAUAGCUAGCAAUAUUGUAUGCUUUUGUUGUUUUUCGUGCAACUGGUAUUACUGUUUCUUGUAAUUUCCCAUUUCUUAGCAACAACAAAGUUUAACUUCUGUUAUUGGAAGCUCUGCUAGGAUUAUUUUCACAAUCUGCUCAAUUUGUCUGCUCUUACAUCUGACAAUACACCAUAAGCAAUUGAGAAACAUUUUCUGCACAAGCUACAUUAAGCCUCACGGCAAUUAUUGCUGUCUUGACUGAUCCAUUCAAAACCAUUUCUACACUUAAUCUGAAAGCCUAAAGCUCUUUCUUUUGGGGCUAUGUAUCUUGCCAUGUGGAAGGCACGUUGCCGCUGUGGUCAUGGUCACAAUCCAGGCACAGGUGAAACUCAAUACAUUAAAAUUACAUCAACUGUAAUUUUUGCCCAGAGGGGUGGUGGAGUCACCAUCCCUGGAGGUGUUCAAGAAACGUGUGGAUGUGGCACUGAGAGAUGUGGUUAAUGGGCACGGUGAGGAUGGGUUGGUGGUUGGACUAGGUGAUCUUAGAGGUCUUUUCCAACAUUACCGAUUCUGUGACUCAGUGUCAGGUUAUAACCACUCUAUUUCUUCUCUCUACUGGAUCAGCAGACCUCAAACACUGUACUAUUAUUUACAGGCAAUAUUGAGUCAAUUAUAAGAGCACAUGAUCACCAUUUUUAGGUAUGAAAAUUUGGAGCAUGAGGUGAUCCUAUCUGCAAGUUCUUCUGGGUUGACCACCUCUAGUCUGGACAUUUAAUAUGUCUCUCUUUACAUUUUGUCAAUAGUUUAGUUAAUUUGCCAAUUUUGGGAUCUAUAAAAUCAUAGCAUCACCAAAGUUGGAAAAGACCUCAAAGAUCAUCUAGUCCAACCAUCCACCUACUACUAACAUUGCCCACUGCUGCUCACUGGUCCCUUAGUAUCAGCUCCUUACCUUGGUUUAGAGGUACAGUAUGGAUAUAAGAUAUGAAGUAAUAAGAUCAUUUGGGAAAUAAGAGAUUUCAGCCAAGAUGAAUGAGGCUCAGCAUCUCAGAAAUACUGCUGGGAAAGUGAACACUUAACCCUUUUCAUAGUAGCUAUCAUAUCUUUAUUUCGUUCUGGAGAAAUACUGUGAUUUCCAGGUUGUAGUAUCUGCUUAGUGUCUAGGGCAGCCUGUUCCCUGCCUUUAGGAAUCUGCCCCUCCAUUUCUACCCAUCCCAUUUUGAUUCAGCCUACAGAUUUAUGCAAUCCUAUUCUACUGCCACACAGUACUCCUACAACACACACAGCUGGUCCAAAUAUCCUGGUUUGAUACUACCUCUGUUUGCACACCUCAGAGCCUCAUAAGGCUUCUCAGGAAUUUACAAGCCCUAGUACUAGGGAUGAAAUAGCACAUUUCAAAACCUUCCACCAACCACUGUGUUGACUGAAAUUUGCAAUGAAACAUGCUACUAAGUUUUUUGUUACAUGACAAUGCCUUGCCUAUUACAUCUAUUUUGAGAAGUAUGCAUCUAUAGAUACUCAGAAGUGGUGAGAAGCAGGACAUCUGAGUACUCAGACACAUUAAAUAUUUGAUGCAAUGAAAGGGAGCAAACCCACACAAUACACAGAUUAAGGGGAUGCUUGUACUAGGGCAGUGUAAUACUAUAAUGAGAUGAAAAGCACAGCAACGAUAGCAGGGUAGCAAUGUCCUAGGUUGCAGGAUAAACCCAAAUACAGCAGUUGUGGACAGAGAAACAAAGGAAAAAAAAAUCUGCCUACCUUUGGAAGACCUCAGAUAGACAGGGAUCUCCAGUAAGAAACCCCCUCUUCCACUGCCAACCCUUAAAUGAGGUCUGGGAAGGGGUGGAUCCUGGCUCCACCCCUUCUGGCCACUCAGGUGCAUUGCAUGCACCUGAGCUCCCCUGGGUUGGCCCUGCCUUCCACCACGUGCUCAAUCACUGUUUCAAGCUGUGACUUAGCACUUCUGCUACAGACAGUGUGAACAUUUGUUACUUAUUUCAUAAUUCAAUGUAUAUUUUAAUUAGAAAAUUACUUCAUUCAGCUGCAGUCAUUUUGUGGGUAAGAAAUCUCACUGAGCUGGCUGGCUGUAGAGACAAAUGGUGCACAACUGAAUACUCUGUGUGUGAAAUGAAGAAUUUCCUCUGUGACUGUAAGCACUAGAAGUGUUGUUUGGGAUCAGUGGCAAAAGCUAAAUGACCUUAGUAUGGUCCACUGCCCAGUGGCCAAGGACUCAAGAAGCUCCUGACUGGGCUGGCGCUGUGUGUAAGAGUCACAUGUGUGCCACGGUCCUACCACUCAAGAGUACUGCAUCUUCUUGAAUUUUUUUACCAUGUCAUACAUUCACAGUUCUGGAGCAAACAUUUCUUGCUCAGAGGCAGACUGGGAGAAGGAGCCAAGCAGAUCUCAACCUCUAACCAUUUGAGGUGAUUGUGCUUGUGGGGCCGAACAGAAACGUAGCAGUGAUGAACAAGUAGCUAAAAGAGGGAAUAAAAUGCUGGGCAAAUGUUGACAGCUGAUAGUUUCCAUAAAUUUGGCAGCCAUCUUCAGUGUAACCAUCUAGAAUGGGCUUAGGGAGUUACCAGACCUAAUCUCUUUUCACCAUGACUGGGAUAUCCAAACUUCUGAAAGGGGCAAAUCUCAUCAGGCUGAUCACUUUGCUUUAGUUUUAUUCUAGCCAAUUGCUCUUCUUUCAGAACAGGAUAAAUUGCUGAUUAAAUUUUUGUUCACUUCAGUGGAUUUCUGAGAAAUCAAGCCUCUAGUUUGUAACUCACCAUAAUAAUCCAGACAAUUCACUGAAAUGGGGCUUUCACAUACUGGAGGACGUCACACCUUCUAGGCUGAGCAAUCUUGGUUUACUUCUUGUGCAAAACCUCCAGUAGGACAGCAUUUCACUUCACUCCUUAGUGGCAUUAAAUGGGAUAGCAAAAUUGCUUCCACCCUCUUUAUAUCAGUAAUUACAUAAAGGUAGGUUAGAGCACAUGGUUUUAAUUUAGCCUUUAAUGGUUUUAUUUGGCAGGGAAUAAAAACCUACUGCUCACUAACCUUGAAUUAGCAGCUGACCUCUGAAUUAGUCAGCCUUUUUCUUGUAAAUGCGUUUUGUAGAGUAUAAACACGAACCAUCUAUUUACAUAACGUUAGUGACAGCCAAAUGAUUUCUUACCAGCAUUAGUGAUGGAAAUCCCAAACACUCCUUCAUUGCUGGAGAAUGGUUUAUAACUCAUGAGAAUUAUCUCUGCACCGAGCUACUACAAAGAGAAAAGGCCAAAAGCUGUAGGAUUUGUAUAGCAUUGCACCAAAGAACUAAGGAAUAGCUUCACAGGACAUGUCAGAUGGCAGCAACUAGCACCAGCUGCUAGUUGGGCCCCGCAUGCACACCACUACAUUUCGUGCACUCUUGGAGCUCAUGGUGAUGUCUUAUGGGUUUUCAGUUUUGUUUCAUAUCCAGGGAAAAUGAAAGUCAUUGAGCACUGUUUUAAGGUGCCCGUGUUUCUCUGGCUGCUGGCUUUAUUGCUUUUAAGUACAAAAUUCAAUAAUAUGGACAUGUUAAGUACAAGGAAGAGAAGAUUUGAAAAAGAAAUAAAGCACUUAUGUAGGUUAUCUUGUAGGCCAUAGAGAUGAUUAACAGUUUUUAAGUGGUGGAACAGUGACUUCCUGAGCCUUGGUUCAUUUUAGUUUAUUUUUACUCACUAUUAAGAAAGGUCAUUUUGUGGAUGUCAUUGCCUUUUUGUUGUUUUGACUGUUGAAUAAACAGCAGAACAUCCUCUUUUCUUUUGAAACUCUUUUACCAGAAGGUAAUUUUUUUUAUUAUUGCAGUAAGAGUGCAUACUAUAGCAGAGCACUUCUACUUUGCUCCGCAUUUAUUGGCAUGCCCUGCCAUAAUGUGCCUUAGUAAGUCUCUAAAUUAAGGUGGUAUUUUUCAUGCUUUCAGCAACAGCAGGACAGCACUCAGCUCUUUGCUGCGCGUUACUAUCAACUCCCCCGUGACUGAGUUCCAGCUUUGGGCACUGACUGUGUGCUGAGGCCCAGCUCUGGCAGCAGAUUUCAGCACUUGUUUUUCUGGCUAUGUUUGCCCUGCCUGAUUCAGGGUGGGAAGCACGAAGGCUCGGCUGAACAGAAGGGAAGGGCAUGACAAUUUCAGCUAUCUUCAAACCAUGGCUUAUGACUUGUUCCCAAGCUAGAAUAAAGGGACUUCUGUUCAACACAAAGGGCAGGAAGAACAUUUCCCUGGGGAGAAGGGUAUCAGCAGUGCCUUCAGUAGGUCGAAAUAAGAAGAGCGAAUGAAGACAUCCUAGAUAGCCGCUUUAGGCAGCACGGAGCCAUUCCCCAGGGUUGGAAACAAAUCUACCACUACCACUACUAAAACAAAGCAAACAUCUUCUCCCUUCAGAGAAAGAGGAUGGUGAAUCCUAGCUGAGAACAGAACCCAUUCUUCCUAUCAUGACAAAUGGCCUGAGGUGUCCAGCAGUGCCCGCAUACCAUGAGCUUUGAUGCCCGUGGGUGUACCCCUGCCUCUCCAAGAAAGCUGGGGCUAUAUAGCUUGUCCCUCCUUCCUUUGAAGGUCCUCACUGUGCAACAGGAAGUCUGUCCUGCAAAUAAAUCAGCUGCUUCCAGGACCAGAAUCCAGAGUGAGUGAUCACAGGCAUUCACCAUGCCUAUUUGUACUCAUUUUGGUCAUUGGGGUCAAACACAAAAGCAGUGUCACUUCACAAAUGGGAAAGCAAUGCCUUCACCCCAUUUUAGGUUGACUUUUCAGCAAUGUAGCACUGUGAGGGUGAUGCAUGGGCACACCUGAUGGGAAACAAAACAUAGUUGGCUAUUGCUCUUCAGUGUGCAGUUCUUGAGCUACCAGAGGAGGUUUGCAAGUUGCACAGUCCUCUUCUGCUAGAAGAGCUCCUUCUCCAAAGGAAAAGAGUUGAAUGAAAAAUUUAAUGUAGUUAAAACAUGAUGCAAUUGGAAAAAAUACUGUGGCCUUUGCCUGGCCUAUCAAAAACAUUUCUGCAUACAAUAGGCAUAGCUUAUGUUUCAGGAUAAAUUACAGAUCACUGAAAAAAAUCUUCUCUAGGUUGUUAAUGACGCACAACACGGGACGCUAAAAGCUCUUGUCCUCUGUACAUGGUUUGCAUUGUGCACAAAACUGAAGUGCUCUUCUUGCUCUGGUUUCCAGUGAUAAGAUCCCUUCUAAGAUCCUUAGAAGAGACCAGCUACAUUCUUAUUUUUUUCAUGUACGUGAGGAAAAUGAGAAAUCUUGGAUGAGUCUCUCAGUCUCAGUCACCAACACUAUCCACAACAGGGUGUUUUAGGUGGCAUAUCAGGUUUUUUGAGCAUAGGAAGUGACACCUGGUCCCCAUGGCAGGUGGGAGCAGGCAAGCAGGGCACUGCUGGCACACUGUUCUCCCCAGCUCUGAGGGCAGUGCCUCUCCCCAGCAGCCCCCAGGCUGCCAACAGGCGUCCCUGUACCUCUCUUUUGCUCCUCCAGGUUAUGGAGCUUUGUGUUAUCCUCCAGUCCUGUAAUGGGAAACACCGACAGCAAUUUAUCUAUGCUCCUGUUGUCUCUAGAUACCUCUGACUGGAUUCCUUCUGGUGUAGUUUAACAUGCCUGCCAAGUAUUUUUUUUUUUUUAAAUACUAAAUGCCUUUCUGUUGCUAGGUGGAAAUUUUUCUGCCUUUCAGAUAUAAAGUGACUAAUGGGAUACAUUUCAUAAUACAUCACCAAGUACAGUACGUGUUAUUAACAUAUCUCAGUGCCCUUUAAAUAUUAUCAACUUGCACAGUAAGGAUGGAGUAGUGUGUAAAUUAGGCUUAAUAAAGAAAGUAGGAGGAAAUCUUUGUUCUCUGUUAAACACAUUUUAUAAGUUUAACAAGGUUUGUUGUGUUAAGGAGAUGAGGUUAAAGCGUGUUGGGAUAUGGCAGGAACAAACAAGUAUCUAUCACCAAAUGUUAAGUGAUGGGACAGAGGUGACAGGGGCAGGUUCAGAAUAUCUGUGGGUUUUGCACAUGGCAGUCCUAGAGGAGCGGUUCUGCCCCUGAGACAGGGGCAGUCUCUCCUCCCUUGUGUCUUUGUGUCCUUGUGUCAUUGUGUCUUUGGCAACCGCAAAGGCCUGCAGGCUUCUGCCCAAGGAGCUGAAUGACAUGCUCUCUGCAGUGCCUGCAUAAAGGGGACUGGGUGGAGGCUGGAAUAAAACGACUCCUUGGAAUAGCUUAAAUGCAAAUCAAGGAGAAAAGUGAUUUCAAUCAGUAAAUGCGAUUGCCAUUUUCGUCUUUCAAGCUUCUAACAAACUGCUAAGAAACCUCUCCACUACCGACAGCCACUCUCAGUCUGGGUAGGUAUUUCAACCACCUUUGCAGGCUCACGAGUUCUAGAACAAAUAAGAUUUGCAUUCCUCCUGGCUGUGCUCAGCACAGCAUGUGAGGUGUGGCAGUGGCUGUGCGUUCCUACAGAGAGCAGGAGCCAGCUCAGCACUGGGUGUCCACGCACAGUAGUGCUGCCACUCUCCAGCACCCCACGGGCUGGCAAUUUCAGUGUGUGUACGUGACAGAUCUGCAUCAUAACGGUUUGUGAUAAAAGUGUAAUAAUACAUUUUGGAAGGAACCUCUGGAGUGCAUAUGGUCCAAUCCCCUGCUCGGAGCUGGGCCAGCUUCUGCAUUAAUUAAAGCUCCUCAGCACCUUGUUCAGGUGAGUUUUGAGUAUCUCCAAGGAUGGAGGUUUUGUUUUUAUGCAUCCUCUUAUUCAAAUAAUUUCCAAAGAAACGAUUCACUCAACGUUUAAAAAAAGAGUUGCCUGACAGUGUAGGAAUUUUGUUUUCAAUGGCAAAGUUUUGUUUUUCUUUGAAUUUCUUCGACACAUCUGAGUAGUAAAGAGUAAUAAAAGAAAUCAUCGUUUACAAUGAUGUAGAAAUAAAAGCAUAGAAAAAGUCAAAUCCCAUAAUUAUUUUUAACAGACAAAAAUUAAGCUCUCAUGACAUGCUGACUGUGGAAAAUACAUUUCUGGGUAUGCAUUUGGAUAUAUAAAAAAAUACAUUAAAAAUGUUUCAUUGGAAAAAAAUCUACCAAAUAAAGUAAAUUAAACGCACUAAGUAGUUUUGUGGCCUUUUGAUUUUUAACCUUACACAUCCUUGGCAAAACUGUGCCUACCAAUGGGUUCAGAUUGACUGAAAACCUGCACCAGGAAGAGGGGGCUACACAGAAGAAGGGCUUCUUUGCUCCACAUUUUUUAAAAUGCUGGUAAAACUAUUUUUAAAAGUCAUUGAAAAAUUCAGGUUGAAUUUUUGAGGGUUUAUCAUAAGAAACUAAUCAUCUCCUAAGUGCUAUUUCAAACAAGAGAAUUUUGCCAAACAUCCCAUCCUUUUUAAUUCAAGAUCUACAACUCUUAAUAAAAACCCUUUUUUGUUGUUUUUGCUGUUGUUUUUUUGUUUUUAACUGAGACAUUUUAGUUUUUCUCAGAAAAAUUCCACUGGAGAAAACUGACACCCCUUAAACCAUAAACCAUCACUGGUUUCAGCUGUAGGCCCAAGGCUAUGAAGACUGAUGCAGCCGGUUCUGUUGAAGAUUGCAGCAUCACAGAAUCACAGAAGGGUUGAGGUUGGAAGGGACCUUUGGAGGCCAUCUGCUCCAACCUCUUCUCCAGCAGGGACACCGAGAGCAGAUGAGAUCCCCCUGAGCCUCCUCUUCUCCAGGCUGAACAGGCCCGGCUCUAUCAGCCUCUCCUUAGAGCAGAGGUGCUCCAGUACCUUCAGCAUCUUGGUGGCCCUACAUUGGACCGUCUCCAGCAUGUCCAGGUCCCUCUCUUACUGGGGAAUCAAGACCUGGGCACAGUCAAAGCUCUCAAAACUCUCACAUUGUUCCUUUCUCUUUCCUGCCAAACCUUUGGCUGUUGAAAUUCUCACCUUUUACACCGCAGAAAAUGUAAAAUGGUGUAAGGGAAGUCUGCACAUCUGUCUGUACCAGGUGUAUUGCCUACACAUGUUUAGAAAGUACGGGUAAGUAGAAAAUGUUUUGUCUGUGUGGGCACCCCAUCACAUUUACAUUUAUAAUAUUGCCAAGAACAAUAACAGCAGAUAACUUGGGUUUAACCUCCGAGAAACAAAAAGAUGUAGUUUGAUCCACCUUUCCCAGUAGCUUUUCUACACGAGUUACCUCUUCCAAACCCAUUCCACUCCAAAAACUCUGAGGAACAAGAGUUGAACUGUCCAGUUCAACAUGAAGACCAGUCCAAAUCACUGUGAAGGCUAAAGGGAGAGAAACAAAGCACAGGAUCAGGGCCACCCCAUGGAAGAGCUGAAGCUCCAUGCUGGAUUAAAUCCAUGGCUGCCGUGAGCUGUCCCAGCUCCACUGGCUGUUUAAGCAAGACCAAGUUUCAACAGACCAAAUGUGCCACUCAUCAGCACUCUGAUUUGGGGGCUGCAAACAGAAAUGGCAGCACAGAGCAUGGACCAGCUUGCAGACCAGGCUGCAGACCAGGCCACUCCACUGCACGCGGCGGUAGGGUGGGAAAGGUUCACGUGCCAAGCUCCUGUGGCAAAAGCAACAGAAUAGGUUUUGUGUGUGCAUGUGUUGCAUAAUUCAGGAUCCAAACUUAAUCCAAAAUAUUUGGACGGCCUCCUGCCCCACGCUUGCUUCACUGGAGCUGGAGACGCGUGCCAAGUGCAGCACCAAGCAGCUGUGGAGCCCGCGACAGCCUGGCUCCCAGGCUUCGGGCCCUGCACCUGCACAGAGGCACAAUCCAGGGCCUGUGUGAGUCAAAGGGACCCUGUUUUUUCCACCAGCUCUGGAGACAGCUGAGGCUUGCCUUGGUGAAAGCAAAGCAGGGGAUGGCUUUCAGCCCAUGUGCCGGUUCCAGGGCUCCUUGCCCGCUCUGCUCGCCUCUCCCAACACAGCUCUCCAGGUCAUUCAUUUCUCACAGCAUUUCUUCCAUUGACCAGUGGGAAGCGUUUGGCAAAUAACUGCUGUUUUAGGGAUAAGAGGUCACCUUAACUGCCAUAGCAGUGAAAUGGGUACACAUACAGUCUUUGUACACAACUGUAAAUGUUCAUUUGCCUUUCAGCGCUGCUUACAGCCCAAGAUUUCAUUUUAGCUGGUAUAAUGUGUUUGCAUCAUUAACAACAAUUACCAGUCAUUGUUCCAUUCAGAUUAACUUCCCUCUGACAAUCUGUAUGGCCCAUAAACCCAACUCCAAAAGGAGUACCUUCCCACAGAGAACAAAAUGGAAUAUGAAUAAUCAGUUUAAUAACUGCAAUUGACUUAGCUUCUCAACACCAGCACGUUUACUGAAAGGCUGCCAGGGUUCCUGGUGGGACAACCUGCUCUGCCCCAGGUUGCUCUCAUGAGAGGCGUGGAGCCCUCCUGGCUCUGUUUCCAAACCUGCAAAUGCUGUACUGGUCUUACACAAUCUCCCUAAGCCUCCACUUCUCAUUCUUGUGGUUUAGCAUGGGCAUUCAGCUCUUCUCUUUCUUAUUUGCUCCUUUCUCGUGCUCUCCUUCCCCUCUCUCCUCUCUCACUAUAAAGGCAGCAGUGACAGAGACAGCACUAGUUCCUAGGGAAGCCAAGGAAAUUCAGAAAGAUAAAAGGGGAUGUCUCUGCAGCCCAGUUCAGGUGGACCCAAGCACCUUUUCUCCCCUUGCACAGCUGGGUGUUUGGGUGGCCAGCCAGGGCUGAAAGCCAUUUCUUAGCAACUUUCUGGGUCUUAUCUGAUGGCCUCAGCCACAGCCCCUCUCAAUAAACAGCCCCAUAGCCUCCAGGUUGUGGUUGCCUCAUGUCUAGCUCUGCUCCUCCCUGUUUGCUUAGGCUCAAGCUGAGGACCUCCUGCAAAUUCCCUUUUCCAACAGACAUGCAGAAGAACAAAACAAACUUUGGCAUGGCAGCAGCCAGUGUCUUCCCAUGUCGUCCUGCAGAGAGAUCUCAGCUCUUCCCUGCAGCUCUACUCUGCAGCCACACGUUACUGAUGCAUCUUUCCCCAAGGAGGGGUGGGAAGGGAGGGGUGAGGAUGUAUGUUGGCACUAACACUUCCCCACUUCAACUGGGAAUAGAUACAACAUAAGGAACAAGCUGGCAACACACAAUUCUUUUGUGACCGUUUAAUGCUGAUUUUUCCUUCUCCUCAGUAAUUUUCUCAACUGAUUUGCUCCCUGUUAAUAGUAAAGCCGCCUCUGAUACCAGCUUUCACCUGUGUGACUCUUUGUCUUUUACUUGAAUGUCAUCCUCCUUUUAUUGCGGCUUCUCUCGAGGUGCCCCGUUCAUCCUGCCUGGCCUCCAGUCCGCCCCCGUGCCCGCCACACAUCACAGCCCUGUGCUGGCACAAUUCAUCAGCACGAUGCUCACGUGGGUCAGAAGCAUGCCACUGAUGGAAAUGUUAAACCAAAUUGGUCCCAGACCUCCUCUUUGGAGAACUCUGCCAUGUAACUUCUAGCCUGGCAUUUCCACUCUCAGCUUGCGUUGUCUCCUCUAACCAAGAACGCAAUCCCUCUGCUCGUCUGUUUUGUCUCCAGCAACAUCAAUUGUUUCACACUUGACAUCAUAGCAAAUACAUUAAAGUAGCCUAGAUAAAGGAAAUCUGGCAGAUAUCACCUGUCUGGAAAAAUAAUUGUUUUAUCAAAGAGAACCAUCGAGUGAGUCUGGCAUGAUGUACCUUUGGUUGCAUUUAUCCCAUUUUUGAUGUGCCUUUGCAUUUUUAAUUAACCCGCCAGGCUUGUUCCAAAGCCUCGCAUACCACUGAGGUCAGAGGUACAAGGACUACAGCUGGAUGGAUUAUUUUUUAACCCCGUGCAACCAAACCCAUUGUUACGAAUUUCCCACCACCACACAGUGCCUCAUUGGCUCACUAUGGAUUUAAAGAAAUUGUUGCCAUCAAAUGGCAACAACAACUCUGAUGCUGGACUUCCCAUAACCCCAACCUUCUCGGCAGACUUGCAGCCACGCUGGGAGCUCUGCUUCCCCCAUGGUAGCAAUUCCAUUUCCAUAUCCUUGUUCACAUUAACUAGUCUGCUUUUGCCCCUAGGAAUUGUCUUCCUAAAAUGAGAGCAGAGGUAAAAUACUCCUUUGAUUUUAGGCCAUGCCUAGAUUAUCUUUCAUCUCAUUUACUGCACAGCAGUCUGUUGUAGUAGGCAAGCAGUCUGACUCUGCUUUUCUCUUACACUUACGUUUGAAGUUUUCCCAGUUUUCUUUGGAACACUUGAUAAUUUCCAGCUCAGGUUUACUUUUGAUUGUCCCCGCUCUAUACUUGUAUUUCUUGACUUUCAGUUGAUCAAAUUCUUUGCUGCUUGGCUCUCAUUCCUGUGCCUUGCAGAGGGCAGAGCAUGUAUGAUCCUUCCCUGCCUGCUCUAAGCUCAAGCUUUCACCUUCUCCACCUGAGCCAGCUUUGCCAAACACCAUCACCUCACUCCAACAGUUCGCCUACUGGAAAACUCUCAGAUGCAUACUCACUUCUGUUAACUCCCCUGUUUGCUUCAGACAGUGAGAUGCAUUCAGUUCUUGACUGUGUCAAGAUCAGCUCUUGACUGUGACUAGAUCCACAGCAACUUCAUUGCACCUCAGAACCAUCUUCUACCAGCUCACUGAUGAACACCAUUCCUACCAUGAAGCACCAUCAAAACAGGCAGUCUGCCCAGAUUGGCGAGGCAUUGAAUGAAGAUACAAAUAUUUUCCAAAAGGGUUUUUAUUUCAGCCAAGACCAUUGAAAGGAGCAGAAUCAAAGCGCACUUCUGACUCCCCGGCUUUGUUCCUGCUGAAUUUAAGAAGUGCAAAAGCUUCUCAAUGAAAUAGUGCCAGAAGCUUUUAGGCUGGGCAGCCCAUGGCUGCUGUGGUUGUGCACAAGGACUGGGUGUCAGGAGAAUGGGCUGGAGACAAACAUCCCCGUCCCUUCCAAGCAGGUUCCAGCAUCCUGGCUUCCUGUCAUUUAGGGCUGCUGGCUUUUCUUCUCCUGAAUCAAUCCCUGUUCUGCAAUUUUGAUAUCAAACCAUGUGUCAGAGGACCAUGUAGUAGUUUCAGCCCAAAAGAGCUGCAGAUGCACCUUGAAAACACCUGAGACCUGAAGGAGCUGUGGAGUCAGCCUGUGCACGAUACCGUGUGGCCUAUGGGAUGCUAUAGGAUGGCAGCAAAAAAAAGUGUGAGAGCUUGUAGUGCCAAACCCAGGCCUCAGCAGAUGAGCUUUAGCAGACCCAGGUGCUUGUGUCUUGUUUUACAUUUGGCGGCUGGAGUAAAACAACAACAUUGUGAAAUACUGUGGGUCUACCAAGUGUCGGUGUUGCCUUCUGGUCGGAUCAAGUCAUGCUGAUUUUGCUUGACUGCAUGUCUGGAUGAAAGACAAAAACAAACAGACGGGACCAGGGCUUGUCUGCCAACUACUUUAUCUUCCUGUGUUUCCAGUGUGCCCAUUGCAGCAGCGUCUGGGCCAUAGGUAUGUCUCUUUGCAAAAUAGGAAGGCCAUGGCUCAUCGACUCUUCUGAUGAGCUCUAAAUUAAGUUGCAUGGCCUUCCCAGGCAGCCAACCUGAGCUGUACGCUAGGUCAGGGAGGCACUAAUGGAGGUUGCUGGAGCAGUGGUAGGGCAAUGCCAAAGAUUACAAUAGGGGACACUAGCUGGGACCUGAGACCCAGAGGGAAAAAAGCUACUGGGAAAUGGAGCAUCAAAGACAUUGGUAGCUGCAUACACACAAAGAAGGCCAGUGCAUAAAUAGCCUGAUAUCUUUGUUCCAGUGAAACUCACAAGAAUUAAAACCCAGAGUCAGGAAGAAACUUGAAAUGCACGACUACACCUGGCAGAGCCGAGCAGACCCGUUGAUAUCUAUGGGGCCUGAAGGAGUUUCUGCUUUGUGAUCCUCCGUGCUCACCUGGGAGAGCAGCCUCUGGAGGGGUCCUGCUGCCAGUGCUGCUCACAUGCCAAGAUCUGUUUUCCUCAUGCUGGAGAUGUGGACUAAGCCUGGAGGAGGUCUGCGACUGCCCCAGCAUUGCCCAACCUACAGCCAGCCCAUGCUCCCCAGUGUUUGGGAUCCACAGCAGAUACACAUGUCCCGGGGAAGACAUAAACAGGAUGAGUUUUUAAGGGCCAUUUGUUGCUGUGGCGAUGAGUAAUGCAAUUUGGUAAGCACCUU